UUAAGUUAAUAAGGGCGCACGGUGGAUGCCUUGGCACUAGAAGCCGAUGAAGGACGUGACUAACGACGAAAUGCUUUGGGGAGUUGUAAGUAAACAUUGAUCCAGAGAUGUCCGAAUGGGGGAACCCGGCAUGUGAAGCAUGUCACUCAUUACUGUUAAGGUAAUGAAGAGGAAGACGCAGUGAACUGAAACAUCUAAGUAGCUGCAGGAAGAGAAAGCAAACGCGAUUGCCUUAGUAGCGGCGAGCGAAACGGCAAGAGGGCAAACCGAUGUGUUUACACAUCGGGGUUGUAGGACUGCGUUGUGGGACGCAAGAUUAUAGAAGAAUUACCUGGGAAGGUAAGCCAAAGAGAGUAAUAGCCUCGUAAUCGAAAUAAUCUUAAACCCUAGCAGUAUCCUGAGUACGGCGAGACACGAGAAAUCUCGUCGGAAUCCGGGAGGACCAUCUCCCAACCCUAAAUACUCUCUAGUGACCGAUAGUGAACCAGUACCGUGAGGGAAAGGUGAAAAGCACCCCGGGAGGGGAGUGAAAUAGAACCUGAAACCGUGUGCCUACAACAAGUUCGAGCCCGUUAAUGGGUGAGAGCGUGCCUUUUGUAGAAUGAACCGGCGAGUUACGAUAUGAUGCGAGGUUAAGUUGAAGAGACGGAGCCGUAGGGAAACCGAGUCUUAAUAGGGCGCUUUAGUAUCAUGUCGUAGACCCGAAACCAUGUGACCUACCCAUGAGCAGGGUGAAGGUGAGGUAAAACUCACUGGAGGCCCGAACCAGGGCACGUUGAAAAGUGCUUGGAUGACUUGUGGGUAGCGGAGAAAUUCCAAUCGAACUUGGAGAUAGCUGGUUCUCUCCGAAAUAGCUUUAGGGCUAGCGUCGAUGUUAAGUCUCUUGGAGGUAGAGCACUGUUUGAUUGAGGGGUCCAUCCCGGAUUACCAAUAUCAGAUAAACUCCGAAUGCCAAUGAGAUAUAAUCGGCAGUCAGACUGCGAGUGCUAAGAUCCGUAGUCGAAAGGGAAACAGCCCAGACCACCAGCUAAGGUCCCAAAAUAUAUGUUAAGUGGAAAAGGAUGUGGGGUUGCACAGACAACUAGGAUGUUAGCUUAGAAGCAGCUAUUCAUUCAAAGAGUGCGUAAUAGCUCACUAGUCGAGUGACCCUGCGCCGAAAAUGUACCGGGGCUAAAACAUAUUACCGAAGCUGUGGAUACCUAUUAUAGGUAUGGUAGGAGAGCGUUCUAUGUGUGAAGAAGGUGUACCGUGAGGAGCGCUGGAACGCAUAGAAGUGAGAAUGCCGGUAUGAGUAGCGAAAGACAGGUGAGAAUCCUGUCCACCGUAAGACUAAGGUUUCCAGGGGAAGGCUCGUCCGCCCUGGGUUAGUCGGGACCUAAGGAGAGACCGAAAGGUGUAUCCGAUGGCCAACAGGUUGAUAUUCCUGUACUAGAGUAUAUAGUGAAGGAGGGACGCAGUAGGCUAACUAAAGCGUGCGAUUGGAAGAGCACGUCUAAGCAGUGAGGUGUGAUAUGAGUCAAAUGCUUGUAUCUCUAACAUUGAGCUGUGAUGGGGAGCGAAGUUAAGUAGCGAAGUUAGUGAUGUCACACUGCCAAGAAAAGCUUCUAGCGUUAAUUAUACUCUACCCGUACCGCAAACCGACACAGGUAGUCGAGGCGAGUAGCCUCAGGUGAGCGAGAGAACUCUCGUUAAGGAACUCGGCAAAAUGGCCCCGUAACUUCGGGAGAAGGGGCGCUGGCUUUAAGUCAGCCGCAGUGAAUAGGCCCAAGCAACUGUUUAUCAAAAACACAGCUCUCUGCUAAAUCGUAAGAUGAUGUAUAGGGGGUGACGCCUGCCCGGUGCUGGAAGGUUAAGAGGAGCGCUUAGCGUAAGCGAAGGUGUGAAUUGAAGCCCCAGUAAACGGCGGCCGUAACUAUAACGGUCCUAAGGUAGCGAAAUUCCUUGUC
rnacentral:rRNA from 1 species